AUUGGCUGCCCACCCUCUGAAAAGCGACUGAGUCCUUGAGUCUCCUGGGAUGUUCAUAUGAAUCCCCUUGAAGCUUUAAUUUGAUAAGACCUCAGUGGAGACUGCUGAACCCCUGGGAUUUAACAUCAUAUAUUAUUCAUUGUUGCUGUUGCCACAGACGUGCUGAUUUUGCCCCUGCUGAGCAAGGCACUUCUGCACAUGGGAACUUGAUGGCUAACCACACUGCAUGUUCUUCAGGCAGGGCCUAUCCCAGAACGUUCCAAGCUGUCUGCUAGCAAGUCUGCAUUAACUCCCUCAAUGCUGCAUGCACGGUGUCCCUGAGUCCUUCACCACCCGCCCCGCCACCAGAGCCAGUCUUUUUAAGAAUUUUGCCUGGGCUGUGUUUUUCAAAGUGCCUCUCUCUAGUGUGCAUCUCUUCUUAAUCACAGAAAGCAGAUCUGAGAGCUUCUAAUGCACUUCUCUAUUACUUCAAGAACACUGUGUAUAAUAAUAAACUCUACAGAAAUAAACCAAAUCACAAGAAGCUUUCAGGUCUGGAGGCUGACAUUUCUCAAGACAGAUGCAAAAACCCAGGCCCAGAGAGAUGAAGAAACCUGGCUAAGGUAACAUGAUGUCUGAUCUGAAAGCAUGUUGUGGUCCGCUACACACAAGAGCAAAAGAAGAGCAGGAAGGAGCUCAGUGCCAAGACCAUAGCCACAGGAAGAAAACCAGCUCUUAGGGCUGCAGCUCUAAAGACAGGCCAGGUCAUUACAGGAACGUCUGCUCCCUUAGCCUUGCCAGACAGAGGAGGGUUAAGAAAGGAACUGCUGACCCUGAUAUGCAAACUGCCACGAGUGCUUCCUGCCUUUCUAUCAGCAUCAGAUGGCUAGCGAUGGAUGGCUGUAAGAUUGAUGUAAUUAACAUUUUAUUUUCAGGGCCACAGUGCUGGUUGGGUGCACCAGACAAAUCAACCAACAGAUUAAAGAGUGAUGGAGAAAGCUGUGUUUUGGGCCUCAUUUGGGAACAGAAUGGAAGAGCUGAGGGUGGAAGGGACCUCAGCAAGUCUUCUGAUCCAUGUUUCAACCUUCAUUUCCCCGAUAACCUCAAGGAGAGAGUUGCUUUUCCUGUUCUUCAAAUGAGUUCCUUGAAUUCACACUCUAUUUCUUUGAAUUUGCACAGACUGUUGAGGAACAGGCGGCAGGGUCACUCUACCUCUGCUCAGACAAGCCUGGAAAAGAAAAAUUUUACAUAGAAGACUGAGCUGGAAGAGGCCUGGGAACUUGGGAAUUCCCACUUCCACACUGCCCACUCUAGUUCUCAAGAGGCGGCAGCUAUGCUGCAGUACAGACCACUGAAUUUAGAUUCAGGAAUCUGGGUUUAUAUCUCACUCCUCCUCUUACUUGCAAGUCACUUACCACACCAGGCCUCGGUUUCCUGGACAAUAAAAUGGGGAUAACGUUGCCCCAUGUGGUUGUUGGUGGUCAUGAAAUUAUGCACACGAGCACGCCUUGUAAUCUAGGUUAGACCUGCACUAACCUAGAUUAGCUGACCAGGGUGGAAGGUGGGAGGGGCAGGCUUCAGUGUGUGACUUACCUAGAGGCCAAGGGGAGUCACCAUGGAUAGGGCAGCACUUGUAAGUCCUCUGCUCUCUCA
rnacentral:lncRNA from 1 species